rnacentral:rRNA from 1 species
UACGUAGGGUCCGAGCGUUGUCCGGAAUUAUUGGGCGUAAAGGGCUCGUAGGCGGUCCGAUAAGUCGGCUGUGAAAGUCAGGGGCUCAACCCCUGAAUACCGGCCGAUACUGUCGGGCUAGAGUCCGGAAGAGGCGAGUGGAAUUCCCGGUGUAGCGGUGAAAUGCGCAGAUAUCUGGAGGAACACCGGUGGCGAAGGCGGCGUCCUGGACCAACACUGACACUGAGGAGCGAAAGCCAGGGGAGCAAACGGG